rnacentral:rRNA from 1 species
CCUACGGGAGGCAGCAGUGAGGAAUAUUGGUCAAUGGACGCAAGUCUGAACCAGCCAAGCCGCGUGAGGGAUGACGGUACUAAGAAUCGUAAACCUCUUUUGUCCGGGGGCAAAGACCGAUACGCGUCCCCGGAUGAGAGUACCUGAAGAAUAAGCAUCGGCUAACUCCGUGCCAGCAGCCGCGGUAAUACGGAGGAUGCGAGCGUUAUCCGGAUUUAUUGGGUUUAAAGGGUGCGCAGGCGGUCUGUUAAGUCAGCGGUCAAAGUCCGGGGCUCAACCCCGACCCGCCGUUGAAACUGGCAGACUAGAGUUGGAUAGAAGUAGGCGGAAU